UACGGAGGGUGCAAGCGUUAUCCGGAUUCACUGGGUUUAAAGGGUGCGUAGGCGGGCUUGUAAGUCAGUGGUGAAAGCCCGGAGCUUAACUCCGGAACUGCCAUUGAUACUGCAGGUCUUGAGUACACUUGAGGUGGGCGGAAUUCAUCAUGUAGUGGUGAAAUACUUAGAUAUGAUGUAGAACACCGAUUGCGAAGGCAGCUCACUAAAUUGUAACUGACGCUGAGGCACGAAAGCGUGGGGAUCAAACAGG
rnacentral:rRNA from 1 species